GCCCUCGUAGCAUAGUAGCUAUUGCACCUGCCUUGUAAGCAGGAGGUCGUGGGUGCAACUCCCACCGGGGGCU
rnacentral:tRNA from 1 species